rnacentral:lncRNA from 1 species
GCUGAUGGAGAAGGAGAGACGUGAGGAGCUCUCAGAUGAGUGAAGCCUCAGCUCUGGCUAUAGGUACUCAACUGAAUUUGCAGAAUCAACUAAUCAAGGCCUCAUUUGGGUGAACUGUGAACUAUGAAUUAUUGACUUAAAAAUUGUAUGAACUAUGGAGUGAUGAAGGGAGUUGAUGUAUGAUUGAAUAAGUGAUGAACUCAAGUAGUGAAGUUGAUGUAUGAGAGUUUUUAGUUUAUUUUUCAUUUCCAGGUUGGCC